rnacentral:rRNA from 1 species
AACGAACGCUGGCGGCAUGCCUAACACAUGCAAGUCGAACGAGACCUUCGGUUCUAGUGUCGCACGGGUGCGUAACGCGUGGGAACCUGCCCUUAGGUUCGGAAUAACUCCCCGAAAGGGGUGCUAAUACCGGAUAAUGUCUUCGGACCAAAGAUUUAUCGCCUUUGGAUGUGCCCGCGUUGGAUUAGCUAGUUGGUAGGGUAAAAGCCUACCAAGGCGACGAUCCAUAGCUGGUCUGAGAGGAUGAUCAGCCACGCUGGGACUGAGACACGGCCCAGACUCCUACGGGAGGCAGCAGUGGGGAAUAGUGGACAAUGGGCGAAAGCCUGAUCCAGCAAUGCCGCGUGAGUGACGAAGGCCUUAGGGUUGUAAAGCUCUUUUACCCGGGAUGAUAAUGACAGUACCGGGAGAAUAAGCUCCGGCUAACUCCGUG